rnacentral:tRNA from 1 species
UCCCUGGCGGUCCAGUGGUUAAGAUGCUGUGCUCCUAAUGCAGGGGCACAGGUUCAACCCCUGGUCAGGGAA